UUUUGGAGGGCAAGUCUGGUGCCAGCAGCCGCGGUAAUUCCAGCUCCAAUAGCGUAUAUUAAAGUUGUUGCAGUUAAAAAGCUCGUAGUUGAAUUUCGGGGUUAGUAGGUUGGUCAUGCCUCUGGUAUGUACUGGUCUCACUGAUUCCUCCUUCCUGAUGAGCCGUAAUGCCAUUAAUUUGGUGUUGCGGGGAAUUUGGACUGUUACUUUGAAAAAAUUAGAGUGUUUAAAGCAAGCUAACGCUUGAAUACAUUAGCAUGGAAUAAUGAAAUAGGACGUUCGAUCCUAUUUUGUUGGUUUCUAGGAUUGACGUAAUGAUUAAUAGGGAUAGUUGGGGGCAUUAGUAUUCAAUUGUCAGAGGUGAAAUUCUUGGAUUUAUUGAAGACUAACUACUGCGAAAGCAUUUGCCAAGGAUGUUUUCAUUAAUCAAGAACGAAAGUUAGGGGAUCGAAGACGAUCAGAUACCGUCGUAGUCUUAACCAUAAACUAUGCCGACUAGGGAUCGGAUGAUGUUAAUUUUUUAAUGACUCAUUCGGCGCCUUACGGGAAACAA
rnacentral:rRNA from 1 species